rnacentral:rRNA from 1 species
GACGAGGGAUCCUAGCGUUGUUCGGAAUCAUUGGGCGUAAAGCGGGUGUAGGUGGGCUUCUAAGUCAGGUGUGAAAUCCCAGGGCUCAACCCUGGAAGUGCACUUGAUACUGGAAGUCUUGAGUGUGGUAGAGGCUAUUAGAAUUCUUGGUGUAGUGGUGAAAUACGUAGAUAUCAAGAGGAAUACCGGAGGCGAAGGCGGAUAGCUGGGCCAACACUGACACUGAGACCCGAAAGCGUGGGGAUCAAACAGG